UGCGUAGGCGGAUUAAUAAGUCAGUGGUGAAAACCUGCAGCUUAACUGUAGAACUGCCAUUGAUACUGUUAGUCUUGAGUACGGUCAAGGUAGGCGGAAUGUGUAAUGUAGCGGUGAAAUGCUUAGAUAUUACACAGAACACCGAUUGCGAAGGCAGCUUACUGGGCCAUUACCGACGCUGAGGCACGAAAGCGUGGGGAGCGAACAGGAUUAGAUACCCUGGUAGUCC
rnacentral:rRNA from 1 species